UGCCGCCUCAGCCUCCACCGCCGGCCCCGCCCACCACCUCCCCUACGGACCAAUCGACGGGCGGUUUGACGGGACGGCCACCAAUGGAACGCGCGCCGCUUCGCCCCGCCCCAUGGGGGUUUGAAUUGCCGCGCGCGCGCACAACGGCCGUCGCGGGAGGCGGUCGCGGCUCUUGUCAGCGGCGGCCGGUCGCCUUCCCGCCUCGUCGGCCCCGCGUCGUGCCCUGAGGGCUUCCCACCAUCAACACCACCACCCAUCGCCGCCGGUGGUGCCCGGGGUCCCCUCUCGCACCGGCGGAGGGGAGGUCAGCCGCGGGCAAAGCCCGCCUCGGAGGGGGAAGACCCGCGAGAGCCGACCUGCUUAGUGUGUCCUGUGCUGUAGAAGCAUUGGCAAAACGUUAGAUGGCCUGGACCAGUGCCUGCUUCCACCAUCAUCCUGACCCCACAGCUGAUGGGAAGAGCAGCUUCUCCAGUGCCACUACCCAGACAAGAAGCUUUUCCAGCCCUACCAGCCGACAUGCCCCCAGGGGGGUGAAGCAGCAGCUGCCCCAGUCCUUGGGGGAUUUAGAGUGUGCUGUCUGCUUCCAGCCUUGCUCGUCAUUGCUGCAGAGCUACUUGUGGUCAUGCUCGUACCUCGGGGCACAAGGAAGAGGUUGAAAUCUCAGAUGAGCACGGGAAGGUCAGCAUGGGAAGGACCUGGAGGAAGCUGCUGUGCGAAGGACCAUCCCGUGGGGUUUCAGAGCUCAGGAUGGCCCCACUGACUUGUCCCUUUGCUCUUUGGCAAUCGACUGGCUCGUUUGCGAUGAGCAGUGAUGAUCUGAUCAUUUGUACUCUCAUUUCUUGUGUUUUACUGCCAGGUAAAGCACUUGUACUAUAAAAUCCAGGACUUCAAAGACCCUGUAAUGACUGCAAAAUGAAAUAUAAAAAUAACUCCUCAAGUGCAGCUAUGUAUAAAUCAUCGGUAGCACGGCCACAGCACGGGCUCGCGCUUCCAGCUGAGGGAAAGUCCUCAAGGUCCCGACAGAGCAAUCAAGAAAAGAUUGUGGAGUUGAAAGUAGAUGAGGGACAUGAUGAGCUGUAAAUCCUCUGGAGCCGUUGGGGCCGACAGUAGCAAGACACGGCUGUGCCUCUCCCCAGCUUUGUUCUGGCUGCGCCCACGCAAGGUCUCGCGUUGUUCUUGGCGACUUUCCCUUACAAGCAAAGGGAAGAGAAAUGGGCAGGCUGGUCCAGACGCAACCGCCAGCCUGCAGCCCCUGAGAAUUACACUGGCAAUCAUUUCUGACUGUGGGAGCCUGCUGCAGAGAUGCUAGAUGGACUGGCUGGGUCGGUGGCUUGUUGAUUCAGUUCAAUUUAUUUUGUCAUUUAGGACUCUUAGCAUUUUGAAAUGAUCAUUUCAAACGAGGUUGGUGCUUGUGAAUGAGGGGCUUGCAGCAGAGCUGAGCUCCCGCGGCUCUGGCUGCGUGGGGGAUUGGAGGGUGGGACUGGUGUACACACGGGACCCGAAUCCAAGAGGGCAAACUCAGUGAUUCCCCACAUCCCAGGGGAAAUCGGUGCGACUCUGAGGCCUUGCGCAGCCUGCCGGUGUUUUCAGAGGUGCCAAGGCCUUUGAGGGUGCUGCGGGUGCCCUGUGCGGGGAGGAGAGGGAGACGGUUCGCAGAGCGGGACAGCUUGCUUUGCCACGCUUCUCUGCACAGAGCGUGGGUGAAGUCCUCGGGGAGGAUUUUGUUGACAGAUCUUAAAAGCGUCUCAGACUAGAGCUGCUCUGGAGAAUGUUGUCUCCAUUCUCUGCGUGCUUCAUCCCUUGGGCAUGCUGAGUGACUCGGAAGACCCUGGAGAUGUGCCCAGUGUGCCUCUGCCGCCAGUUCUGCGGCCUGUUUUUUUGUGCUGCUGAUCGAAUCCCGGUGUGGGUAGCGGCUGCCGCUGCUGUCUGGGUGCCGAACAGCGGGCGGCGGGGAGGGUUUGGAGGGGAGAGGUUGUAAUGCUGACAACCUUAGUGCUGCAAGACAAAAAACCUUAACACAAACCCAUCUAACGGGCUCGCCUCGCUGGAGGGUUACUGCUACGGCGCAGCUGGGACGUGGACGUCGGUCACACCUUUCAGGGACGCACAUCUCGGCGAAGGGCAGCAGGGCAGGCUUUUGGGGGGGGUGGCCUGAAGUCACGCAUGAUUUUUCUCUUCCUCUGUGAAGGCUGUGAGAUACCAGAAGUGUCACCCAAGGAGGGCCCGCUCCUCUUUGGAGUAUGGAUUCCUAAAUUCCUCAAUUUAAAUGCAAAUUCAGAGCCGCUUGAUUAUGCCAUGCAUCAGAGAAGCUUUUGGACAGUGAACAGCUUGUAAUAAUCAGCUACACAUCCCUCAAUACAGAUAUUAUCUGCUGUUGCGAUAUGGCUGCGUGCCUCUGCAGAAAGCAGAGUGGUUCAGAAUGACCCUCCUUUUCCCUCUUUCUCCUUUUGCCUCCAUUGAAAAUUGCUCUCAUUAGCUCCUUGUGCCGUCCAGGUUGAUUAAAAAGGUUUCAAUCUGCUUUGCGAUAACAGGAAUAAUGUUUUUGGAGGCGCUUUGCAUGCUAAUGGUCUUCUGAGCCUGAAAUGCUGCUGUUCAGAACGCCUGCAGCUUCAGGAAGGGCUUGUAUUUCUUCUUGACGCCUUGCUCUUAUGGAACCAGAAUAUUUUUUGUUGGGAGGCUUAUAAUUGCCUGGCUUAUAACUUCCUUGUAGGAAAAGGGAAGGGGGAAAGCAGGAGCGGGGUGGCACAGCUGUGGGUGUGUUAGCUGUGGCCCACGGGAAGCUCAUCCUGGUUGGGAUCUCCGUCCUGGGAUAUCUUCCAGGAUGAAGCCCUGAUCUUGUGUAGUGAGAGCACGGGUCACACCGGGCAUUCCUAGAGCCUUCUGUGACACACUUCCCUGCCCAUCAAAUUAGUAAUUGACUUUUAAUCAAGCCCAUUACAGUUUUCGCCACACUUGAGCAUCCUAUUUAAGCAAUCAUCACUCUCACCUGCUCCCUUCCUUUCCUUAGGAGCUUCUCAGGUAUUUGCCUCUCGCCAAUCCAAAGGCAUGUCCUUUUGACUUGGUUACUUGGCACCAAGAAUAGCCAAACUACAGUUUAAUCUCAUUUCACGCUUGCAACAACCGGACGGGGUUGAUUUUUGAAUCGCUGCUGCAGGUUCUCAAAUCUUUCAUUAGCUAAUGCUUGAUUCAUUUAGUUCAGUAAUAAAAAGUAAUUGCUUGUCUAAACAACCAGACACCGCUUCUCUGUGGCCUGUAAUUCUCUACCAAGCAGCCCUGUUUGGGGCGGGGAAACCAAAAUCUGCUGCAGUCUGCACCGAAACUGAAGUGGGGAGCUUGUGAACUGGAAUGAAGAGUUUGGAGAAUCCACUUUCCCCCGUUUCCUCCGCUUUAAACUCAAGUUGUUUCUCUUGGAGCUCCAGCGAUCCAACAGACUGGUGCUAUGGAAACCCCAGUUCACGUACUGGUACAUAGCUGCAAGCAAUUAACCAUCUUUAAUUUUCAUUUUCAGGGGAUAUUUUUGACUUGGGUAUUAAGCAAACAUUUAUGCAAAACACCGUGGAAUCCAUAAAUGUUA